GGAAGGCAGCAGGCGCGCAAAUUACCCACUCCCAGAACGGGGAGGUAGUGACGAAAAAUAACAAUACGGGACUCUUUUGAGACCCCGUAAUUGGAAUGAGUACACUCUAAAUCCUUUAACGAGGAUCCAUUGGAGAGCAAGUCUGGUGCCAGCAGUCGCGGUAAUUCCAGCUCCAAUAGCGUAUAUUAAAGUUGUUGCGGUUAAAAAGCUCGUAGUUGGAUCUCAGCUCCGGCCGGACGGUCCGCCUACCGGUGGUUACUGUUCGUCGCCGAGCGUUCAGGCGGUUAUUCUUGAUGAUCUUCACCGGUUGUCUCGGGUGACCGCCAAGUUUACUUUGAAAAAAUUAGAGUGCUCAAAGCAGGCGCGACGCCUGAAUAAUUGUGCAUGGAAUAAUGGAAUAGGACCUCGGUUCUAUUUUGUUGGUUUUCGGAACACGAGGUAAUGAUUAAGAGGGACAGACGGGGGCAUUCGUAUUGCGACGCUAGAGGUGAAAUUCUUGGACCGUCGCAAGACGAACUACUGCGAAAGCAUUUGCCAAGAAUGUUUCCAUUAAUCAAGAACGAAAGUUAGAGGUUCGAAGGCGAUCAGAUACCGCCCUAGUUCUAACCAUAAACGAUGCCAGCCAGUAAUUCGCCUGUGUUCCUCAAAUGACACGGCGGGCGACUUCCGGGAAACCAAAGCUUUUGGGUUCC
rnacentral:rRNA from 1 species